GAUCCAAAGAGUGACGCAGAGUCAUUACACCUGCAGACACGGGUACAAGACAAUGUAUCAUUCAGCCUUACGAUCGUGGCACAGACUUCAAGUCUUCAGGAAAUUCCUAAAAGUGCCCAGAGCACCAGUGGAGACAGGCAAAGACUUCUUGCACCUACUUCUUGAGGGUGGUGAAAGGGGGCUAGGAGCACAGGGGUAGGGAAGCAGACGGGAGCCUGGCUUUUGUGAGGGGACCUCCUGCCUGCAGCCGAUGUGCUGUGGCUCAGUUGGAGGGGAAGUGGGGACCCACCAAGAGUGAUAAAGGGGGGGGGACAUGAUGCUUCUAGGGAGGCAUCUGCACUCUUUUGUUGUGGCAAAAUAUACAUAAGAUUGGCCAUUUUCAUCAUUUUUAAGUCUGUCAUUCAGCGACAUUAAAUAUAUCCACAUUGUUGUGUGACCAUCACCAGUAUCUGCCUGCACAACCUCUUCAUCGUCCCAGACAGAAACUCUGCACCCCUUAAACAACGACCCAUUGCCUUUGCCCAGCCCUUAGUGACCUUCAUUUGAUUUUCUGUAUCUAUGAAUUUGCCUAGUCUAUGUACCUCAUCUAAGUGAAAACAUGCAAUAUUUGUCCUUUUGUGACUGGUUUAUUUAUGUAAUGUAAUGUCUUUAAGGUUCAUCCAUGUUGGAGCAGGGGUCAGAACUGCCUUCCUUUUUAAGGCUGAAUAAUAUUCGAUUGCGUAUUUGUUUUGUUUUAUUUUAUUCAUUUAUUCAUCUGUAGAUGGGCAGAUGUUUUGUUUAUUCAUUCAUCUGUAGAUGGACAUUUGGGUCGUUUCCCCUUUUGGGUUGUUGUGAAUACAGCUGCUACGAACGUCGGUGUACGAGGACCUGUUUGGGAUCCUGCUUUCAGUCCUUCGAGUAUGUACCUAGGAGUGGAAUGACUGGAUCAAUACGGUCACUGUCUGCAAAGUAAAAGAUUUCUAUUUUCAUGGCCAGCUCAGCCACAUGCUGUCUCUCCUUGACGUUCAUCCAGAUCUCAUGCAGACAGAAUUCCUCCCAGCCUCUUGACAGGCCCUGACGGGCCUGAAUUCACACACACUAGAGUUAUCACUGAUCUCAGGCAAGACAUCAGGCAGGAUGGAAGAAGCUUGGGUCUCAGGAUCAUCAAAUGGAGAAAAGCCUGCCAGUCAGGAAAUGAGGGAGAAAUAAACUCCUAUUGUGUUAACCAUGAAAAAAUGUUUGGUCUAUUUGUUAUAGCAGCUAAUACAGGAAGCAAAAUGAUAAUACUCCCAUAGGGAGUCAGAAGAAAAUGAUCUCUGUCAUUGUUUUGAACUGAAAAACCACACCAGAGUGAAGAACACUGGCUCCAAGCUUUGGGUGACCUUGACGGAAAGCCAGAGCAAAUUAACUUGGCUUAGGCAUAUUAAUGAAGUGGCAGGUAUUUAUAGAAUGUGUUAUUAGCUAAUCAUCCUUUGAAAACCAGUUUGCUUCUUGGGGAAGGUUUUGGCAGCUGUGCAUAGGCUGAUAGUUCCCAUUGUCUCCCUGCUCAUAGUCAUAAACUGAGAUUAUUCUAAUUUAGGUACUUCGGAUCAAAAAAAGAGAUGGGGUCAAAGUUAUAUUUGAGCCAGAAUCUCCUCAAUACGUAGGUCAUUGUCUCUGGGGCUCAGUUUGACGCAGAACUGAGGGAAAGAAACCUCUGCCAGCACCCUUCUAAAUAUCCUCAUGGCCUGGAAGAACCAAUGCCCUUGUGACAAUGGAGUCCUCACUUUUGGGGACCAUCCUGCAAUUUUGCUUCCUUGAGUGUAGGUGUUCAGGCUGAGUCACACAAAACAAACAAAAAAACCGCAAACAAACAAAUAAAAAGAACCCACCACCAACAACAAAACACAAAAAACACAUGCCCACAAGGAUAGGCAAGAGCCCCCUUCUCCCCACGUUUCUAUCAUGUUUUAGAGAAAGACAUAAUGUUGAUGAGGGUACAAAUUCACACUAGUUUGCCUGGGGUAACAACUGUAAGAGGGCUCAGCCAUGGUGGUUUGAGGUGGGCCCCAGCUCAAGAUCACUGCUUCUCUGCGUGCACCAACGCUGACUAACGUGCAUUCUGACUCUAUCCCAGCACCCGUACACUCCCAGGAAGGAUUCAAAAGGAUUCAGCCAUCUUCUCCACCUAACCCACCAUUUUCCAUAAAAGAAGAUUGCUAAAAGCAGUCAAUUUCAUGAGAGAGAGGUAGUUGAUAGGCAUUAAAGGAUUAUAGACUAUCGUAGGAGGGAAAUAUAGAACACUGUAUAUAAACGCUAGGUACAUGCUAAUUAGCCUCAAUACGGGAGGCAGGUCUUCCUAUCACAAGUUAAAGAGUGCAGUAGAUUCAAAAAAGUCUUUUUUUUUUUUUUAAUUUUCCUUUCUCAGUAAAACUUUUACAAUGGGGAGAAGAUAUAGCAUUUGGCUCACCCAUUCUGGGUACAAAAGGAUUCCACAGGCAAACUACAUUAUUAGAAGAAGCUGUCCAGCUCAUACUUGUUCAUUCAUUAGCUAGAGCAUGAGAGGUGUCUAACGAACUGGUUUUGUGACAUUCUCAUCUGAGGAAGUCACACGGGCACCUUCAGCACAUUUACAUGUGUGAGUCCUGGCUUUGGUAGAGUUUUCUGUGGGCAAGGCUCACAUGAAAGCAUUGGAAGGGGUGGCUUUUCUGGGUUUAGAUCCGAGUAAGUAGAGAAGUUGACUUCGGGGACUGGAGGGCUUGGACUCUGGCAGACUCAGCACUAGGUGCUGUUUUUAGGAGUUCUUCAACUUUAUUGACAUGAAAACUUCCAAGUAAAAUACGACUCUGAAGGAAGGCACCUGUUUGAACCACCAAAUGCAAAAGAAAUAAUAAUUAAAAUCUCUUCUCCUUAAUGGCCAUCUUGACUCAGUUGUACGUCUUCUGGGUAGUGGUUCACAUUUCAGUACUUGAGGAGCAUAGGGAAUGCCUUGGAUUUUAUUAUU